rnacentral:rRNA from 1 species
GACGAACGCUGGCGGCGUGCCUAACACAUGCAAGUCAGGGAUUGAAGGGUAGCAAUACUUUUUCAAGACCGGCGCACGGGUGAGUAACACGUAGGUAAUCUACCCUUAGGCGGGGAACAACCCCGAGAAAUCGGGGCUAAUACCGCAUAAUGCAACGAGACCACAUGUAUUUUGUUGUUAAAGAUCCGCAAGGAUCACCAGAGGAUGAACCUGCGUCCGAUUAGCUAGUUGGCGGAGUAAAGCCCACCAAGGCGACGAUCGGUAGCCGACCUGAGAGGGUGAUCGGCCACACUGGAACUGAGAUACGGUCCAGACUCCUACGGGGAGGCAGCGGU